rnacentral:lncRNA from 1 species
AAUGAAGAAAGAAUUUUUUUUUUUUAAAAGUAUCUCCUUCUCUUUAGAUUUUUGUUUCCUAUAAAAUAUAAGCAAAUCAAAUCGCAUUCUCUUAAACUGACACACAAAAGACCAACCCAAGUGAAUGAUCAUCAGAUUAAUAAAAAAAAACUUAUCAAUAUUUAAAAUUGAAAACAUUUAACACAAAAUCUCAUUCUCUCAACCGAAACAGUACGAAACUGAAAAUAAUAUUUACAACAUCAAUUCUAAAAAAACAUAAAUAAUGUUGAUACAACUAUACUCGUGUUAAAGAAGAACCAACACACAAUCAUAACGAAAAAUAAUUUAACAACCAGGCAUAUGCGACACAGGUUGUUACCAUAAUGUCAUCAGCGGUGGGUUUGCUUCCGAUCCCAGUAGAAAGGUUGGAGUUGAAACUUUCACAUUGUUGAUCAAUUUUCUUUUGUCUUAAAGUAGCAUCAUCCUCGAUGGACCAAAGCAUGAAUCAUCACCAACCUUGACGUACUCCUUUUUAGCUCCAUCACUAAUGGAUGUUCCAAACAAUGGUUGUUCACUCCACAAAUACGACAAUAUCAAGAUAAUUGUACAUCUUGUAAAAACAAUCUCAAACCAAAGGAAUAGCCCACAAUAUACAUGGAGUAAAAAGGAGAUGAUGACGCAGACUCAAGCAAUCUUAUUACUUCAUCUCUAAAUUUUUUUCUAGGGUAAGAAGUAAAGAUGUUGAUCCUUGGCCUAUCUGUGUGGGAAAGGAGAGGGUUUGGCUAUGUUUUACGGCGUCGGAGGAGGUGAAGUGAUGAGGGAUUAUUUUGUUGUUGUAGCCGGUGUGAAUGGAGAUCUCGGAAGCCAAUCGGUUGGAUGGGUUGUGUCGCCGUGAAAGUUGUUGGAGGAAGGGUUUUACCGUGGUGGCGAUUUUUGUGUUUAAUGGGGUCUUGCCGGCGACGGAGGGUUUGGUGAAGGCCACACAGAAGGUUUGUUUGUAUGGUUGUGGUUAGGUGAUUGUUAGGUGAUGAGUGUUGGAAUGCGGCGUAUCACGGUGCGGGUGGAAGGCGAAAUAUGGUAUUAAUGUUAUUGUGAGGGUCGAUGAAGAAAAAGAAGGGUAAAAGGAGAGGAAUGGCGAGGAGGAGCUUUGACGGGGGAAGGAGGUUGUAGGAGGAUGACGUCAGAGACCUGACGGGGGAAGGAGGUUGUAGGAGGAUGACGUCAGAGACCUUUGGGAGAAGAAGAGGGUCCUUCCCAAGAGAGAAAGAUCAAAAAUUCUUUAAUUCGUCUCUUUCGUUUUCUUUUAUUUUUUUUCUAGCAGACCAAAAGAGAGAAUUCUGUUGGUGAGUGGGGAUGAAACCAAUCCCUUUUUGAUUGGUGGGAGCGGUCCCUCUCUAAUCCCUUCACCAACUAUUAAUCAAUUUAUUUUCUACUCCUUUUUUUUGUUUUUUCGCCAGCUGUCCUCUUGGAGAGAGGGAGUACUAUUGUGAGCUGUCAUCAACAAUGUCGUUGGGAAUGGAAGGG